AUGAUGGAGAAGUUGAGCAAAGUAUCUUCAUGGCGUCUGGCAGUACGAAGUGAGCUAUACUGUAGGUGUUUUUGCAUAAAUGACAACCAGCAGGCAGAUUGGCCGCCUCUUCUAACUGUCCCUGGCCUAGCAGGCGAUAACGGCGCCACGAGGAUUCGCUGCCGUGAGGAGGACCCCGACCCGUAUGAUGGCCGCUGGAAGGUCACGCACUUCUUUGGCUCGCUUAGACUAGCUCCAUUGACGGCUUCUCGAAGGUGUAUUUGUUGGGUUACUCUUGGCGUGUUGAACAAAAAUUGGCAUUCGGCACCUGCUAUUUAA
rnacentral:rRNA from 1 species